UGAGGAAUCUUCCACAAUGGGCGAAAGCCUGAUGGAGCAACGCCGCGUGCAGGAUGAAGGCCUUCGGGUUGUAAACUGCUUUUAUAAGUGAAGAAUAUGACGGUAACUUAUGAAUAAGCACCGGCUAACUACGUGCAAGCAGCCGCGGUCAUACGUAGGGUGCAAGCAUUAUCCGGAGUGACUGGGCGUAAAGAGUUGCGUAGGCGGUUAGUUAAGUGAAUAGUGAAACCUGGUGGCUCAACCAUUCAGACUAUUAUUCAAACUGGCUAACUCGAGAGUAGCAGAGGUAACUGGAAUUUCUUGUGUAGGAGUGAAAUCCGUAGAUAUAAGAAGGAACACCAAUGGCGUAGGCAGGUUACUGGGCUAUUUCUGACGCUAAGGCACGAAAGCGUGGGGAGCGAAC
rnacentral:rRNA from 1 species